UUAAGUAGAGAAGUCUCUGAAUUUCAACAUGUUUCUUUGUAUUUUUCUUUCUCUUUAUUCCAACUUUUUUUGCAGAAUUUCUAAGGAUCUUGGUUGCUGUCUUAAAUGACACAUUCAGUCUUUGCUCAGUUGUCGUCUCCUUAUAGAAACCAAUCUAAACAUUUCCAGAGCAGGGAGAAAAAACCUCUAGGAUAAUAUUAUGGAGAAUUUCACACAAUGGCAAUCUGUUAGGAAAG
rnacentral:lncRNA from 1 species